CCUACGGGGGGCUGCAGUCGAGAAUCAUUCACAAUGGGGGAAACCCUGAUGGUGCGACGCCGCGUGGGGGAAUGAAGGUCUUCGGAUUGUAAACCCCUGUCAUGUGGGAGCAAAUUAAAAAGAUAGUACCACAAGAGGAAGAGACGGCUAACUCUGUGCCAGCAGCCGCGGUAAUACAGAGGUCUCAAGCGUUGUUCGGAAUCACUGGGCGUAAAGCGUGCGUAGGCUGUUUCGUAAGUCGUGUGUGAAAGGCGCGGGCUCAACCCGCGGACGGCACAUGAUACUGCGAGACUAGAGUAAGGGAGGGGGAACCGGAAUUCUCGGUGUAGCAGUGAAAUGCGUAGAUAUCGAGAGGAACACUCGUGGCGAAGGCGGGUUCCUGGACAUUAACUGACGCUGAGGCACGAAGGCCAGGGGAGCGAAAGGGAUUAGAUACCCGGGUGGUC
rnacentral:rRNA from 1 species